GCCUGGCUGGCUCAGUUGUAGAUAGAGCAUGUGACUAUUGAUCUUGGGGAUGUGGGUUCGAGCCCCACGUUGGAUG
rnacentral:tRNA from 1 species